rnacentral:RNase_P_RNA from 1 species
GCAUUCUGUCGGAUGAUCGCGCUUCUUUUUUAGAAAUAAAAAGGGUGAGGAAAGUCCGGACACCUGGAAACACGGGACCGGGUAAUUCCCGGAAUUCUCUAUCUUGAGAGUAAUUUCAGGAUAGAGAAUAUGGAAAGUGCAACAGAAAAGAUACCGCCUUGGUAAAAGGUAAGGGUGAAAUGGUGGGGUAAGAGCCCACCUACGAUUUCGAGAGAAAUCGGGAAUGGCAAACCCUCCCCCGGGUGCAAUCUCAAAUAGGCAGCCUAUUUGUAGUUUCCGCAGGGCUGCGGGUAGAGAGCAAGGACUUCGAUCGGUAACUUUCGAAGCAAGAUAAAUGAUCAUCCAUCUCCUAGGAGAGGACAGAAUCCGGCUUAUAGACAGAAUGCCCGU